rnacentral:lncRNA from 1 species
CAUACUGGUUUGUACUGGGAGGGACUGGGAGAGGUUAAAAAGGGGAUUUGGGGUUACUGGUUUAUACUGGUUUAUACUGGGAAUGCCAUUAGAAAGCUCUGGGAGUUACUGGGACGGAACUGGGAUUGAACCAGUGCCAAACUGGUUUAUACUGGUGUGUACUGGUCUGUACUGGUUUGUACUGGUUUGUACUGGGAGGGGCAUCAACCCCGGUACUGGUUUGUACUGGUUUGUACUGGUUUGUACUGGGAGGGGCAUCAACCCCGGUAUGAUGGUUUGUACUGGUUUAUACUGGUUUGUACUGGGAGGGGCAUCAACCCCGGUACUGGGAGAUACUGGUUUAUACUGGUUUAUACUGGUUUAUACUGGUUUAUACUGGUUUAUACUGGUUUAUACUGGGAUAUACUGGGAUAUACUGGU